rnacentral:rRNA from 1 species
UUAAGCGACUAAGCGUACACGGUGGAUGCCCUGGCAGUCAGAGGCGAUGAAGGACGUGCUAAUCUGCGAUAAGCGUCGGUGAGGUGAUAUGAACCGUUAUAACCGGCGAUUUCCGAAUGGGGAAACCCAGUGUGUUUCGACACACUAUCAUUAACUGAAUCCAUAGGUUAAUGAGGCGAACCGGGGGAACUGAAACAUCUAAGUACCCCGAGGAAAAGAAAUCAACCGAGAUUCCCCCAGUAGCGGCGAGCGAACGGGGAGGAGCCCAGAGCCUGAAUCAGUGUGUGUGUUAGUGGAAGCGUCUGGAAAGGCGCGCGAUACAGGGUGACAGCCCCGUACACAAAAAUGCACAUGCUGUGAGCUCGAUGAGUAGGGCGGGACACGUGGUAUCCUGUCUGAAUAUGGGGGGACCAUCCUCCAAGGCUAAAUACUCCUGACUGACCGAUAGUGAACCAGUACCGUGAGGGAAAGGCGAAAAGAACCCCGGCGAGGGGAGUGAAAAAGAACCUGAAACCGUGUACGUACAAGCAGUGGGAGCCUCUUAAUGGGGUGACUGCGUACCUUUUGUAUAAUGGGUCAGCGACUUAUAUUCUGUAGCAAGGUUAACCGAAUAGGGGAGCCGAAGGGAAACCGAGUCUUAACUGGGCGUUAAGUUGCAGGGUAUAGACCCGAAACCCGGUGAUCUAGCCAUGGGCAGGUUGAAGGUUGGGUAACACUAACUGGAGGACCGAACCGACUAAUGUUGAAAAAUUAGCGGAUGACUUGUGGCUGGGGGUGAAAGGCCAAUCAAACCGGGAGAUAGCUGGUUCUCCCCGAAAGCUAUUUAGGUAGCGCCUCGUGAAUUCAUCUCCGGGGGUAGAGCACUGUUUCGGCAAGGGGGUCAUCCCGACUUACCAACCCGAUGCAAACUGCGAAUACCGGAGAAUGUUAUCACGGGAGACACACGGCGGGUGCUAACGUCCGUCGUGAAGAGGGAAACAACCCAGACCGCCAGCUAAGGUCCCAAAGUCAUGGUUAAGUGGGAAACGAUGUGGGAAGGCCCAGACAGCCAGGAUGUUGGCUUAGAAGCAGCCAUCAUUUAAAGAAAGCGUAAUAGCUCACUGGUCGAGUCGGCCUGCGCGGAAGAUGUAACGGGGCUAAACCAUGCACCGAAGCUGCGGCAGCGACACUAUGUGUUGUUGGGUAGGGGAGCGUUCUGUAAGCCUGUGAAGGUGGCCUGUGAGGGUUGCUGGAGGUAUCAGAAGUGCGAAUGCUGACAUAAGUAACGAUAAAGCGGGUGAAAAGCCCGCUCGCCGGAAGACCAAGGGUUCCUGUCCAACGUUAAUCGGGGCAGGUUGAGUCGACCCCUAAGGCGAGGCCGAAAGGCGUAGUCGAUGGGAAACAGGUUAAUAUUCCUGUACUUGGUGUUACUGCGAAGGGGGGACGGAGAAGGCUAUGUUGGCCGGGCGACGGUUGUCCCGGUUUAAGCGUGUAGGCUGGUUUUCCAGGCAAAUCCGGAAAACCAAGGCUGAGGCGUGAUGACGAGGCACUACGGUGCUGAAGUGACAAAUGCCCUGCUUCCAGGAAAAGCCUCUAAGCAUCAGGUAACAUCAAAUCGUACCCCAAACCGACACAGGUGGUCAGGUAGAGAAUACCAAGGCGCUUGAGAGAACUCGGGUGAAGGAACUAGGCAAAAUGGUGCCGUAACUUCGGGAGAAGGCACGCUGAUAUGUAGGUGAAGCGACUUGCUCGUGGAGCUGAAAUCAGUCGAAGAUACCAGCUGGCUGCAACUGUUUAUUAAAAACACAGCACUGUGCAAACACGAAAGUGGACGUAUACGGUGUGACGCCUGCCCGGUGCCGGAAGGUUAAUUGAUGGGGUUAGCGGUAACGCGAAGCUCUUGAUCGAAGCCCCGGUAAACGGCGGCCGUAACUAUAACGGUCCUAAGGUAGCGAAAUUCCUUGUCGGGUAAGUUCCGACCUGCACGAAUGGCGUAAUGAUGGCCAGGCUGUCUCCACCCGAGACUCAGUGAAAUUGAACUCGCUGUGAAGAUGCAGUGUACCCGCGGCAAGACGGAAAGACCCCGUGAACCUUUACUAUAGCUUGACACUGAACAUUGAGCCUUGAUGUGUAGGAUAGGUGGGAGGCUUUGAAGUGUGGACGCCAGUCUGCAUGGAGCCGACCUUGAAAUACCACCCUUUAAUGUUUGAUGUUCUAACGUUGGCCCCUAAUCGGGGUUGCGGACAGUGUCUGGUGGGUAGUUUGACUGGGGCGGUCUCCUCCUAAAGAGUAACGGAGGAGCACGAAGGUUGGCUAAUCCUGGUCGGACAUCAGGAGGUUAGUGCAAUGGCAUAAGCCAGCUUGACUGCGAGCGUGACGGCGCGAGCAGGUGCGAAAGCAGGUCAUAGUGAUCCGGUGGUUCUGAAUGGAAGGGCCAUCGCUCAACGGAUAAAAGGUACUCCGGGGAUAACAGGCUGAUACCGCCCAAGAGUUCAUAUCGACGGCGGUGUUUGGCACCUCGAUGUCGGCUCAUCACAUCCUGGGGCUGAAGUAGGUCCCAAGGGUAUGGCUGUUCGCCAUUUAAAGUGGUACGCGAGCUGGGUUUAGAACGUCGUGAGACAGUUCGGUCCCUAUCUGCCGUGGGCGCUGGAGAACUGAGGGGGGCUGCUCCUAGUACGAGAGGACCGGAGUGGACGCAUCACUGGUGUUCGGGUUGUCAUGCCAAUGGCACUGCCCGGUAGCUAAAUGCGGAAGAGAUAAGUGCUGAAAGCAUCUAAGCACGAAACUUGCCCCGAGAUGAGUUCUCCCUGAGACUUAGAGUCUCCUGAAGGAACGUUGAAGACGACGACGUUGAUAGGCCGGGUGUGUAAGCGCAGCGAUGCGUUGAGCUAACCGGUACUAAUGAACCGUGAGGCUUAACCUU